GUGUCAGCCGCCGCGGUAAUACGUAGGGUGCAAGCGUUAAUCGGAAUUACUGGGCGUAAAGCGUGCGCAGGCGGUUAUAUAAGUCAGAUGUGAAAUCCCCGGGCUCAACCUGGGAACUGCAUUUGAGACUGUAUAGCUAGAGUACGGUAGAGGGGGAUGGAAUUCCGCGUGUAGCAGUGAAAUGCGUAGAUAUGCGGAGGAACACCGAUGGCGAAGGCAAUCCUCUGGACCUGUACUGACGCUCAUGCACGAAAGCGUGGGGAGCAAACAGGAUUAGAUACCCUUGUAGUCC
rnacentral:rRNA from 1 species